GUUGUACUCCUUGUAGGCUCUUCCGGGGACGUCGUAGGAUCCGUCGGGUCGGGUGACGAGGAAGGCGAAGACGAGAAGGAUGAGGAGGAGGGCGAUGAGGAGAGCCAUGGAGAAGAGGUAAAGGGCGAGGAGGCCCUGUUUGUUCCAGUAGGCACCGACAAAGCCCGCGAGGGAGACGAGGAGGAUGAGGAGGCCCAUUAUGAGAAUGGGCCAGCGGAAGUUGGCGACGCACUGGUUAUCGGGCUUUGAGGCCAACCAAAUGCCGGAGGCUAUGAUGGGAAUUGAGGAGAUCAUGGCCACAAAGUUUAGCACUGCGGUGAUGUUGUUGCUC
rnacentral:lncRNA from 1 species